rnacentral:rRNA from 1 species
ACUGCUCAGUAACACGUGGCUAAUCUGCCCUUGGGACCGGAACACCCCCGGGAAACUGGGGCUAAUUCUUGAUAGGUGAAGAACUCUGGAAUGAGUCUUUGCCGAAAAGUUGUCAGGGUUAUGCUCUCUGAUAACGCCCAAGGAUGAGGCCGCGACCGAUCAGGUUGUUGGUGAGGUAAUGGCUCACCAAGCCUUUUACCGGUGCGGGCCGUGAGAGCGGGAGCCCGGAGAUGGGCACUGAGACAAGGGCCCAGGCCCUACGGGGCGCAGCAGUCGCGAAAACUUUGCAAUACACGAAAGUGUGACAGGGCUAUCCCGAGUGCCAUCCGCUGAGGAAGGCUUUUACCCAGUCUAGAACGCUGGGGGAAUAAGGAGAGGGCAAGUCUGGUGUCAGCCGCCGCGGUAAUACCAGCUCUCCGAGUGGUGUGGAUGUUUAUUGGGCCUAAAGCAUCCGUAGCUGGCUAAGUUAGUCCCUUGUUAAAUCCACCGAAUUAAUCGUUGGAUUGCGGGGGAUACUGCUUGGCUAGGGGACGAGAGAGGCAGACGGUAUUUCCGGGGUAGGGGUGAAAUCCUAUAAUCCCGGGAAGACCACCAGUGGCGAAGGCUGUCUGCUAGAACGCGCCCGACGGUGAGGGAUGAAAGCUGGGGGAGCGAACCGGAUUAGAUACCCGGGUAGUCCCAGCUGUAAACGAUGCAGGCUAGGUGUUUGGACGGCCACGUGCCGUUCUAGUGCCGCAGGGAAGCUGUUAAGCCUGCCGCCUGGGGAGUACGAUCGCAAGAUUGAAACUUAAAGGAAUUGGCGGGGGAGCA